rnacentral:misc_RNA from 1 species
UGGUUCUGGCAUCGAUGAAGAACGCAGCAAAAUGCGAUAAGUAAUGCGAAUUGCAGAAUUCAGUGAGUCAUCGAAUCUUUGAACGCACAUUGCGCCCUUUGGUAUUCCGAAGGGCAUGCCUGUUCGAGCGUCAUUAUCACCUCUCAAGCUUGGCUUGCUGUUGGGCCUCAUCGUUAAAGAUGGGCUCGAAAGAUAACGACGGCGUUGUGAGUAACCCCCGAUGCAACCAGCUUUCCGGAGCACGCACGGUGAUGGUUAACCAACCCGGUCUUCACUAAAUAUUUCAUGGUUGACCUCGGAUCAGGUAGGAAUACCCGCUGA